CUGCUUUAGCAACACAUAUUCUAAAGUUGAAAGUACACAAAGACCACCAUGGCACCUGCACAAGGAUGAAAGGUGAGUUCAUAUGAUGUUCACAUUUGCA
rnacentral:snRNA from 1 species